GGAGGAGAGCCAAAGAGUAACGAAUACGAGGACAAACAAACAGGCCUCCGGGAUGCCGGCCCAGCCUCUGCAAACUGCGAUCGGCAACAGGCUUGGAGGUGGCGGUGGGCGAAGCUGUCCCAACAACAUUGCAUUAAUCACUUUGAUCAUUGGCUGCCGCCCAUGAGAGCUGGAGACGUUGCUUGGCUCAGCAGCACCUCUGAGUCAUUCUUGGGGAGCCCUAGGAAAUAAGAGGCAAAGGCUUU
rnacentral:lncRNA from 1 species